ensembl:lncRNA
AUGUGGAUCUAUUAUGUUAGAAUGAUCUCAAAGAAUAAUGGAAGACUGAGAAAGAGAAUGCAAAGGAGAAGAGGGAAGGAGGCAGAAGAAAGGACAAAAAUAUUUCAAAUACUAGAGCCCUUCAGCUCUGGAGCUUUGGUGUGCUAUGGAUCAGGAGUCUCUACUACUAUGCUUGGAACCAAUAUGAUAAGUCCUGAGAACACCUAACUUAAGAAGGAACUCUGACCCAUGCCAGAAAAUGAGCAGCAACAGGUAAGAUCAAAACCCAAGCUCAGAAGAGGAUAAUAGUACCAGUAUGGACAUUUGUGAAGUCUCAGAUGCAAAUAUGAAAGGAUGUCAAGCCCAUAAUGAACUCCUGGAAUACGACCAAAAAAGGUUCAUCAAGAGGUACUAUAUUUUAGAUACUGUAGAACUUACUUUGGAAGGACUUAUAGUUAACCCAAGGAAAUUACUAGAAGUUCUUUUAUCCAUGACAUACAUAUCAUAAGCUUUACUGCCAUUGCUAUCAUUAAACUGUGCUCAUUCCCUGUGCUCAGUGACUCUGAGUCACUGAAAUACAAAUACAGUGUUAUUCAAAAUAAUUAUUAGCUUGAUUGUUUUUAAAUUUGGGAAAAUCUCAGCAUCCAGUAACUCUCCUGGACAAAACUAAUUGCAAAGAAAAUAGGAAAGAAAAGUCAACAGGCCAGAGCAUUGAGUGUGUAAAGCAUCAUUUGAGCUGAGACUGAACGUCACCUGAAAACAACUGCCAUUUUGCAUUCUAGCCCACAUUGUUUUUUCUUAGUGUCACAAUUUUCACUUUGAUGCCCUUUGCUGGGUUAUUACUAAGGGAAAAUAUGUUAAGUAAUUUAGGCUUGAGAAAUGAUUCAUGUAUCAUUUUGUGACAUAACUUUUACACUCGCUUCUCCUUCCUAUUUCUGCUUAAUUCUAAGUGAAUCCAAAGAUUCAUCAUACUUGAUAUGCCACUUAUCCAGUGGUUCACACCUCAGUGAAAAAAAGGAGACACUAAAAAUAGUCAUGAUAGCAACUCUUGCCCUUUUGGUUCUGGAUGAGAAUUAAAUUGCUGCUGGUGUUAGAAUAGAAAAUCCAUCUUAACCCCCAUUCUAUUUUCCAUGAGGACUUAUUCUUUGGCAGCCUAUGGUCCGGUGCUUAUAGCUCCCUACUGUAUAGGGAUUAAAAUGUCAGAGAGAAAUGUGUUAAUCUAUAUAUCUGAACUCACUACCUUACUACACAAGCCAUUGUCCAUAUUCACACCCAGCUUCUAAUAUUCCCCGGUAAAGGGAACUAGAGCUAUGAAUGUAAGGAUAAAAAUAAUCAUUGCUCCACUUUGGGCAGAUACUUCCUCUUCUACCUUUGCUUGCAUUUUGGUUAUGACUGUGGAUUCAUAAGAUCCCUCUGCAAUGCUUUACUGUUUCUGUAACCCAAAGGAAUGAGAAAAAAGAAUUAGCUUCAAUACAUGUACUUUACAUAGGAUAGGGGGUGAAGCCUGCAGUUCACAAAGACUGGAUAUCUAAAAUAUGUGAGGAAUCUAGACAUAAGGUUUCUAACUUUGUGUAAUAUACAUAUGGAUUUUAUUGACCAAAGUGGCCAUCAAAGAAAAUAAUAUAAAUGAGCUUAAGAAACAGACAUUUUUACAUAAGGAAGAGGAUUAAAGUAUUUACUAAGAAGUCAGGAGGUGGAAUUAUGAUAAAAGUGGACAGGCUAUUUUAGCCACAUGGUAUUUUUUCAAUUCAUCCAAAAAUAUAUAAAUACAUAUGUUAAUUAAAACAUUCUCCUAAAAGACAGUGCAUAGGUUAAACAUGCUUAGAAUUAAGCUGGAAUAUGCCUAGGGCAUAAUUUACAUAGAGUAUAUGGCUAUUUAAUGAAAAGCAUACUUUCUUAGCAUGAAGAAAAAUGUUAGAAUAUCUGAAAUACCACUUAUGCCAUUGUAACACUUAGCAUCAUUUUAACACAAAAGAACAUUAAAUUAUUAUUAAAUGUUGAAAUAAGAUUUUUUCUAAUGUAAUUCAAUUUUGUUUUCACUAAAUAUUUUGGCCUUAAUGAUCAAUUUUUGUAUUUUUCACUUUCCACAAUAUUUUCAGAAUAAUGCUCUUAAGAUAUCACUACAGUAAAUUCAUGUACAUUUAAGAAAUUAUACAGUGAAUUUGAAAUAAUAGUUCAGGAAUAGCAAUUUGUGAUAACACCAUUGACAAAAAUGCAAUCAAUACUUUUGCCCCUUCCCCCACCAACUAUUACUCUUAUUUCCUUUCCACAAUUCACAUAGUGGAGACCAAAUUGUGUAGUUGGAAAUAUACUGAGUUCUUAAGAAUUCCAGAAUUCCAAAGCUUUUUUACUGUUAAUCAUAACCUAAUUUCAGUUAGAUGUGAACAGAAUAAUAGACCUUUUGUCAAUUAAUUAAAAAGUAUUCCUCUUUAUAAAAUGUCUGUCAAAUGAUAAUAAAAUAUGAUAGAUUUGGCUUAAAAUACUGGUA